rnacentral:rRNA from 1 species
UACGUAGGCAGCAAGCGUUGUUCGGAAUUACUGGGCGUAAAGAGUGCGUAGGCGGUUUGGCAAGUUUGGUGUGAAAUCUCCCGGCUUAACUGGGAGGGUGCGCCGAAAACUGCCAAGCUAGAGUAUGGGAGAGGAAAGUGGAAUUCCUGGUGUAGCGGUGAAAUGCGUAGAUAUCAGGAGGAACACCUGCGGUGUAGACGGCUUUCUGGACCAUUACUGACGCUGAGGCACGAAAGCGUGGGGAG